rnacentral:rRNA from 1 species
ACGGAAGGCAGCAGUGAGGAAUAUUGGUCAAUGGAGGCAACUCUGAACCAGCCAUCUCGCGUGAGGGAAUACGGCCCUACGGGUCUUAAACUUCUUUUAUAGGGGGAUAAAGUGAGCCACGUGUGGCUUUUUGUAGGUACCCUAUGAAUAAGCAUCGGCUAACUCCGUGCCAGCAGCCGCGGUAAUACGGAGGAUGCGAGCGUUAUCCGGAUUUAUUGGGUUUAAAGGGUGCGCAGGCGGCACGUUAAGUCAGCGGUGAAAUGUCGGGGCUCAACCCGGGCACUGCCGUUGAAACUGGCGAGCUUGAGUACGGAUGAAGUCGGCGGAAUGUGAUGUGUAGCGGUGAAAUGCGUAGAUAUGUCACAGAACACCGAUUGCGAAGGCAGCUGACUAAUCCGCAACUGACGCUCAGGCACGAAAGCGUGGGGAGCGAACAGGAUUAGAUACCCUGGUA